rnacentral:tRNA from 3 species
GGGUCCUGCCUCAGCGUUCCGACCAAUUGGCUUUUAACCAAUUGGUCGUAGGUUCGAAUCCCACACGACCCACCA